GCGGUGGGUAAAAGUCCUCAAGUAUCAUCCUUUAAAGGGUCUAAGUCAGUUCCAUUCAUAGAGGAGUUGAAUUAUCUUGUACAAAGUUUAAUCAAUACUUAGCCAUGUCAGUCGGCUACUUUCAGCGGAUGCAGGAAAAGGUCAAUAGAGCCACUCAUGUGCCCAUAUCUCAUUGAAAUACACAAUACGUUGUUUUUCCUCAUCAUGAAAGUGGUGCAUCUCAUGUAUAGAACAUUAUAAACAUUACAGGUGAGCCAGACCUUUCUAAACAGGUAUAAAUCCUGUAGAUUGAGUAGUAUACUCCUCUUUCAGUACUAAAUGUGAUUCCAUCUCGGCAGCCAGGAAUUGGAGCUUUAUCUUCAUCUCUCUUUCUGAUGCACCUUUUGAAAUGAGUGCUCCAAACUGCAGCAUGACCCCAGGAUGGCCAAACUCACUCCCUGAGCCAGCAGGACCCUUACACUGUGUGCGUUUUGAGUCAGUCAGAGGAACUCAGAUUAAAAGGCUAUCAUUCUUUGGAGGCAAGCUAACAUGUGGCCGGUGACUUCGCAAAGGCUACUGUUACUCUGAAAUCAGGAGGCCAGGCUGGGACCCUCUGAUCCAUGUCCCAGGGAGCGGGAGAAAGGGCACUCGGGGUGCAGUUCACACGCACGAGAGCUAUUCAGACAAGUUCUCUGUUAUUUGCGCUCCCGUCUCUUUUUUUAAGGAAAGAGUCUGCAGCUAACAUAACAGGGUGUGCUAGACUGAAGCACACUCUCUCUCCACAUUACAGGCGAGGAGGGACUGUGGGGUGAGAGGAGAGAGCCUGUUUUCUGAGGAUUUGUGUUCCUCGGAUGAUAGACACCCAGCCAGAGUUGGGUAGUUUCUAGUU
rnacentral:lncRNA from 1 species